rnacentral:tRNA from 1 species
GGUAAAAUGGCUGAGUGUUAGGCGGUGGUUUGUAGCUCCAUGAACAGAGGUUAAAUCCCUCUUUUUACCA